AAUUGGUCGCAGGUUCGAAUCCUGCACGACCCACCAAUUUCAGCAUUUAACUCAGAUGCUGAACGUGAAGGAUAACGUUGCGACAGCAACGGCCCGAAGUGCGAGGCGAAGUCGAGUCAUCUUUCACGCCCCACCA
rnacentral:sRNA from 1 species